rnacentral:tRNA from 1 species
UUAAACCCUAAAUAUGAUUAAAAUUCUCAUAUUA